rnacentral:rRNA from 1 species
AGAGUUUGAUCCUGGCUCAGGACGAACGCUGGCGGCGCGCUUAACACAUGCAAGUCGAGCGAGAACCGGGACUUCGGUCCCGGGGACAGCGGCGAACGGGUGAGUAACACGUGGGUAAUCUGCCCUCGAUUCUGGGAUAGCCCGGGGAAACCCGGAUUAAUACCGGAUAGCCUUUCGAGCCUUCGGGCGCGGAAGAAAAGGUAGCUUCGGCCUCCGAUCGAGGAUGAGCCCGCGGUGGAUUAGCUUGUUGGUGGGGUAAUGGCUCACCAAGGCGACGAUCCAUAGCUGGUCUGAGAGGACGAUCAGCCACACUGGGACUGAGACACGGCCCAGACUCCUACGGGAGGCAGCAGUGGGGAAUCUUGCGCAAUGGGCGAAAGCCUGACGCAGCGACGCCGCGUGGGGGAAGAAGGCCUUAGGGUUGUAAACCUCUUUCAGGCGGGACGAAGCCACUCGGGUGAAUAGCCCAGAGGGUGACGGUACCGCCAGAAGAAGCCCCGGCUAACUACGUGCCAGCAGCCGCGGUA